CGCGCGGGAUCUUGGUGAUUGAAGCUUCGGCUGAUUGAUCCAAGUGAGAGCGGCGAAAGGGAGAGUAACGCGUAGAUACGUACCCCGAGACCCGGGAUAGCGUCGGGAAACUGGCGGUAAUACCGGAUAAUGUCUCCGGACCAAAGGUGUGAUUCCGUCUUGGGAGCGGUCUGCGUCCUAUUAGGUUGUUGGUGGGGUAAUGGCCUACCAAGCCGAAGAUGGGUAGCGGGUGUGAGAGCAUGGCCCGUCUCACUGGGACUGAGACACUGCCCAGACACCUACGGGUGGCUGCAGUCGAGAAUCUUCCGCAAUGGACGAAAGUCUGACGGAGCGACGCCGCGUGCGGGAUGAAGGCCUUCGGGUUGUAAACCGCUGUCAGUUGGGAGGAAAUGCAUGGUGGCUAUCCAUCAUGUUUGACCGAUCUUCAGAGGAAGUCCGGGCUAAGUUCGUGCCAGCAGCCGCGGUAACACGAACCGGACGAACGUUAUUCGGAAUUACUGGGCUUAAAGAGUCCGUAGGCGGCUUGGUAGGUGAGGUGUGAAAUCCCACGGCUCAACCGU
rnacentral:rRNA from 1 species